UACGGAGGGUGCAAAUGUUGCUUGGAAUCAUUGGGCGUAAAGCGUAUGUAGGCGGACCGUUAAGUCGGAUGUGAAAGCCCUCGGCUUAAUCGAGGAAGUGCAUUCGAAACUGACAGUCUUGAGUAUGGAAGAGGGUUGUGGAAUUCCCGGUGUAGAGGUGAAAUUUGUAGAUAUUGGGAGGAAUAUCAGUGGCGAAGGCGGCGACUUGGGUUAAUACUGAUGUUGAGGUGUGAAAGUGUGGGGAGCAAACAGG
rnacentral:rRNA from 1 species